rnacentral:rRNA from 1 species
GUGCCAGCCGCCGCGGUAAUACCGGCAGCUCGAGUGAUGGCCAAUAUUAUUGGGCCUAAAGCGUCCGUAGCUGGCCGAACAGGUCUGUCGGGAAAUCCGCUCGCUCAACGAGCGGACGUCCGGCGGAAACCAGUCGGCUUGGGACCGGAAGACCCGAGGGGUACGUCCGGGGUAGGAGUGAAAUCCUGUAAUCCUGGACGGACCACCGGUGGCGAAAGCGCCUCGGGAGGACGGAUCCGACAGUGAGGGACGAAAGCGUGGGUCACGAACCGGAUUAGAAACCCUGGUAGUCC